rnacentral:rRNA from 1 species
UUAUGUACAUUCUUAUAGCAUUAAUGCAACAGAUCCCAUUAGAAAUCCACAGUUAAGCAUGCUUGGGCCAUAGUAUUACUGGGAUGGGAGAUUUCCUAAGAAGUCCUAAUGUUUUACAUGCC